AUGAAGCUACAGAAAUUACAGUUUGUCAGAAGCAGCAUUUGGGACAAACCCACACAGAAUUCAAAGAAUGAUCUGAUAAAAGCCCUCAUGGUUAUACAAUGUUGCCCCGAGCUUCCUCCAAAUUCACCCGAAAUUCUCCUGCGGAGCUACCCUUCCAGACAUGUUUGGUGGCUGUCUCUUCUCGGGAUAUCGGGAGCAGGCUCCACACCCAACAUGGGAUUUGAACUCAUGAUCUCAAGAUUGAGAGUCUCAUGCUCUACUGAACCAGCCAGACACCACUCGUCUAUUUAUUUCUGUUCCUCAUUUUUACCCAGGUCGACGGAAACCUGGCGAGGAAGGCUGACCCACCACCAACAGCUCUUGAAGUCAUCUCUAGGUUCACUGUUGAUUUUGGUUAGCUUUGGUCAGCGGCUACUACUUCAGAGCAUUAAUCAUUUAUAGAGCUUUCUGUGGCCUGCCCGGGGCUUUACAGACCUCUUCAGGCCUUGCACCACCACCGCCUUCAUUCAGCUCUGCUCACCUCUAGCAGGAGAGCACGGACACUCGCGUACUGCCCCAAAGCCACAGCAACCCCCUUACAGGCACCCUCCUUUACCCCUGGCAGGGCGCUGACUUGUAGAUUUGUCCUGUGCUAGGCCAUAUGCUCAGGGAAAGGACGCCCUCCCUAAUCCUACCAUGUGAAUUUUGACUGGCUUAAGCCCAUCAUGGUGGUCCAGUUCCCUUGCUGGUACUGGAUUAAGCAGGGCAUGGGACACACUUCUGGGUUCAUGAAAUGGAAGGCAAAGUCAACUGGGGAGCUUCAGGGAAAGUGUUGUUUGCUCUUAAAAAUGGAAUAUUAGAGAUAUGAACAAAGGGAAUAGGUCCUUUUUUGCCUUGGGGUGUGACUGUAUGAAGAUGUGAUUCCCGGAGUGGCCGCAACCAUGUUGUGACCAGGAGACGAUGAGCCUGAAGACAAGACCCAAAACACUGUGAAGAGGCAGAAUGGAAAGAUGGAAGAACCCGGGUCCUUGCUGACAUAUCUCCCCAGUCACACUGGAACCCCACUAUUGCCUUUCAUCUCAAAUUCCCCCAGGCUGCUUCCCUAUUUCUUACAUGAUGGCCCAGUUUGGGGUUAGAUAAGGAAGGAACAAUAACAAAGCCCAAACAACUUACAACCUAUAUACCUUUUCCAUUCUUUGAAAAACACAGUUCUCUGGGGCACCUGGGUGGCUCCGUGGGUUAAAGCCUCUGCCUUCAGCUCAGGUCAUGAUCCCGGGGUCCUGGGAUCCAGCCCCGCAUCGGGCUCUCUGCUCGGCGGGGGCGCCUCAUGGGUUAAAGCCUCUGCCUUCAGCUCAGGUCAUGAUCCCGGGGUCCUGGGAUCCAGCCCCGCAUCGGGCUCUCUGCUCGGCGGGGGCCUGCUUCCUCCUCUCUCUCUGCCUGCCGCUCUGCCUACCUGUGAUCUCUGUCUGUCAAAUAACUGAAUAAAAAAUCUUUAAAAAAAAAAAAAAAGGAAAAAAACCCGCACAGUUCUGUCCUCCCCCCAGGCCACCAAAACUCAGAAGUGAUGAGUCAGAAUUUGGCGCCA
rnacentral:lncRNA from 1 species